CCAAUAGCGUAUAUUAAAGUUGUUGCAGUUAAAAAGCUCGUAGUUGAACUUCGGGGUUUACCCAUUGGUCAGGCUUAAUUGUCUGUACUGGUGAGAUGAAUCUCUACCUUCUGAGGAACUUUCAUGCCAUUUAUUUGGUGUGAUUGGAAAUCAGGACUAUUACUUUGAAAAAAUUAGAGUGUUUAAAGCAGGCUAACGUCUGAAUACAUUAGCAUGGAAUAAUGAAAUAGGACGGCUUGGUUCUAUUUCGUUGGUUUCUAGGAUCACCGUAAUGAUUAAUAGGGAUAGUUGGGGGCAUUAGUAUUCAAUGGUCAGAGGUGAAAUUCUUGGAUUUAUUGAAGACUAACUACUGCGAAAGCAUUUGCCAAGGAUGUUUUCAUUAAUCAAGAACGAAAGUUAGGGGAUCGAAGACGAUCAGAUACCGUCGUAGUCUUAACCAUAAACUAUGCCGACUAGGGAUCGGACGAAGUUAAUUUUAUAAUGACGCGUUCGGCACCUUACG
rnacentral:rRNA from 1 species